rnacentral:rRNA from 1 species
UGGGGAAUAUUGCACAAUGGGCGCAAGCCUGAUGCAGCCAUGCCGCGUGUAUGAAGAAGGCCUUCGGGUUGUAAAGUACUUUCAGUCGGGAGGAAGGUGGUAAGGUUAAUAACCUUGGCAAUUGACGUUACCGACAGAAGAAGCACCGGCUAACUCCGUGCCAGCAGCCGCGGUAAUACGGAGGGUGCAAGCGUUAAUCGGAAUUACUGGGCGUAAAGCGCACGCAGGCGGUUGAUUGAGUCAGAUGUGAAAUCCCCGGGCUUAACCCGGGAAUUGCAUCUGAUACUGGUCAGCUAGAGUCUUGUAGAGGGGGGUAGAAUUCCAUGUGUAGCGGUGAAAUGCGUAGAGAUGUGGAGGAAUACCGGUGGCGAAGGCGGCCACCUGGACAAAGACUGACGCUCAGGUGCGAAAGCGUGGGGAGCAAACAGG